rnacentral:tRNA from 1 species
GCACCGGUAGUCUAACGGUAGGAUCUCGGCCUUCCAAGCCGAUAGUCCGGGUUCGAAUCCCGGCCGGUGCA